GCCAGGGUGGCGGAAUUGGUAGACGCAGCGGAUUCAAAAUCCGCCGGCCUCACGGCCGUCGGGGUUCAAGUCCCCGCCUUGGUACCA
rnacentral:tRNA from 2 species